AGGACGAACGCUGGCGGCGUGCCUAACACAUGCAAGUCGAGCGAGGAGAUCCUUCGGGAUGAUCCUAGCGGCGGACGGGUGAGUAACACGUGGGCAACCUGCCUCAUAGAGAGGAAUAGCCUUCCGAAAGGGAGAUUAAUACCUCAUAACAUUGCAGUUUCGCAUGAAACAGCAAUUAAAGGAGCAAUCCGCUAUGAGAUGGGCCCGCGGCGCAUUAGCUAGUUGGUGAGGUAACGGCUCACCAAGGCGACGAUGCGUAGCCGACCUGAGAGGGUGAUCGGCCACAUUGGGACUGAGACACGGCCCAGACUCCUACGGGAGGCAGCAGUGGGGAAUAUUGCACAAUGGGGGAAACCCUGAUGCAGCAACGCCGCGUGAGUGAUGACGGCCUUCGGGUUGUAAAGCUCUGUCUUCAGGGACGAUAAUGACGGUACCUGGGGAGGAAGCCACGGCUAACUACGUGCCAGCCGCCGC
rnacentral:rRNA from 1 species